AUCUGUGGGCAUACCAUUCUGAAUAAGCCUGAUCUAUUCUGAUCUUGGAAGCUAAGCAGGGUCAGGCCUGGGUAGUACUUGGAUGGGAGAAAUACCCACCUCUCAACAAAGAGACUGAGAAACUCUAAGCA
rnacentral:rRNA from 1 species